GAAGUAUUUGAGAGUGUAAGAUAUAAUAGUGUAAGAGAGUGCAUAAAAGUGUGUACAAAUUUUUAUCGUAUAGCUACAAGCAUUUAGGGAAACUCGCGAAAGGAAAACCUCUCUUCAUCUUGAGUCAUAAAGAGAAAACCACUUGUGCAUACCGAAGAUAGUGAUAAGCAGUUCAACCAUUCAAUGGCCAAAAUCACCAAUGUUUUAGAUGGUUAAGUGAAUGGCUCAAAAGUAUCUUGCCCUUACCUUGGUUCGUAGAUGAGUACAGUAAUCUGAGGUAGAGGUAAGGUAUGCAUACGUUCCCCAAACCAAACGUUGAACCGAGAGUCUAUCAGAAACAACUUCUCUACCACUAAGGUAGAGGUACGGUAUGUAUACGCUCCCCCUCCGUAGGUACUUCUACAUAGAAACUCUUUGUUUAACUUUUCUUAAUUUGUUAAAUAAUUCUGGAUAGUUUUAUCGUAUUCCAUAAACAAGUUAGGUUUGUAUGAUUAAUUGUACCCAAGUUUACAUAUAUAAGACACGUAUCUGGUCGGACACGAAACUAGCAACAUCUUUUGGAUCUUAUUUAAAGAGUAGAAAUAACUAUAAUUACAAAAGCUGUAUAACCAAGGAUUACUAGGAUAAAAGAUUUUGCUAGACUUGGAUCCUUUAUGUAGGUUUAUAUCUAUGUCGGUGAUCAUAUGAGAGUUGCACCAAGAGCUUAAGCUUCAGAUAAGUGAAGACAUGAGUGACAGUUGCUCUUUCUGGCUUGCAAAGACAAAAGUCUAAUGGAUGAAUGGUUGAGAGAAUAAUAGUAACUCUAACGGAUUUUUUUGAAUGGGGUCUAACAGAUUUGUGGUUGAAUCUAUUAAUAAUGAUACUUAGGAUCUUUCAAUAAGAAAUUUUCAUGUCACUUAUGUUUUGAGUAGGAAUAUAUGUGUGAUAAUACUACAUUAGAAAGCGUAAUACAUUUACCAGGUGUAUUAAUUGAUUUCCAAGACCAACGCUGAUAAAAUUAUUCUCCCUUUGCGUUCUGUCUACAUUCUUCUGUGGUCAUGUUGCUUACUUGUGUUAGUCUUAAUUUGAUUUUUGCAUAAUAUAAUUAAUUUAGUCAUUAAUUCUUAAAUUUUGGUGUGAUGACUUUCUUUUUAAAAUAUCUAUUUAGUAAUAAAUCUGAUGUAUUCUAUGAGUAGAAAGUUUUAAUAGAUUUCAAAUGGCUUAAACGUUUCUCUUAUGAUUGUAGCAAUAACUGUGAGUGACUAUUUUUAGCAUUUUGGACUUAGCUUACUCCUUGAUGAGUUGUGAAAAUUUGAGAAAUCUUUUGGAAAAGCAAGAAAGUUGGAUGCAUAAUUAUAAUAAGAUAUGAAGAGAUCACAAAUUAAGAAUAUUUUUUUUACAAAAAGACUCUGAAUUGUACAUUUAUGUAAAGCAAAGUGGACCUUCUAAGUAUUCAAAUAAAAUAAAGGAAGAAGUAUUAAAUUGGAUCAGAAUUUUAAACACAAUAAUUUGGUCAAGUAUGAUUUGGGGUCCGCUAUUUUGUCAAAAGAUUUUGAAAAGUGUGAACAUUUCAUCACAAAGAAUUUUCAAUUGGUGAUUGUCUGAAUCAGCUAUUUGCAGCCAUGCUUUUGACAAACUCAAGCGUUGUGGUUUUAGAUGCAAAUUUAGGAAAUGGAGUUUCGAAAAGUACCUAAAAAUUAAGCAGGUGACUCAGCAUAUAACUCCUAACGAACCAUGGACAUUUUACAAGUCUCCUUCAAAGCUAUGAAUCUUUUAAGUGGUCAGGAAUUUUGUGUAUGAUGAAGAAACAGAGAGGAAAUUUGAUUUGAUGUAAAACUACUCUGCCUUUUGUAACAUGUAAGUCCUUGGCACUCGAGUUCUCAAUAUGCCAUUUAUGUUACAAAAAUAUAGUACAGUUGAAACAUUCGAUAUUUCAUAACGGCGACAAUCAUGUCAUGAUAUUCAUAUUAGGAAAGCCAUUAUUAAUUAUUUUCAUAACUUUCAGAUUUGUGUAGCAACCUUCAGUUCGUUGGAAGCAUAUGAUAUAUUUUGUGUGAAACUUCAUAAAUGUAAGAUCUAUGAGAGCUAAAGGUGUCAAUGAUUUUAAAAAAUUGACUUAACCAACUGAAUCGUACACCAGUUCAUCGAAUCGUAUCCUACCUUUAUUUAGUAAGAAAGUUUGUUCUCUUUGGACUCUGUUUAUAUAUCGGGGAAUUGAAUUAAUUAACAACAAAUUUAGUUUAGCUAUCACGUAUAAGGAAGUGUAGAUGAGAUGCACUUAAUUACUAUAAUUAUUCACAAAAAUUUAUAUUUUUUUCAUUUCAUGUAUAAUUAUUUAUUCAAAAUUUAAUCUUAAUAUCAUGUUUGAUUAAUGGUAUAAAUUAAUUCUAGGAUAAAUUUUCAUCAUUAAGCAGACAUGGUAUAAAUUUAAUACCAAAUUUAACCAUAGGAUGUCUCACCUUAUACCGCAUACGAAACGACCCCUAAUAAUAUUAAUAUAUAUGAUUUUAUGAUAACAUAUACUACAUAAUUAGAUAUACACGUGCAACGUAUGUGUCAAUAGACUAGUUUUUAAAAGUACAUGAAUGUAUAAAAGAAU